GUUGCUUCUUUGAAAAAGAGGGUGACCAUUUUGACAAUUGGUCAGUCAUAUCAAUAAGCAUAUAUUGAAGAAUAUACUGCCAGUUUUAAACAGCAUAAUGUUUUUUUGUGGCAUUGUGUUACCUGUCUCCUGGUACACGC